rfam:Trachymyrmex cornetzi contig60070, whole genome shotgun sequence.
GCCUCGGUAGUCUAAAGGCUUAGGACGUUCGCACGGAAUGUAAGAGAUCCAGGUUCGACUCCCGGCUGAGGUA